UUUGUUUCUCCUGUGGCCACACAUCAUAGGAAAUACCUCAUCAAGUAACUGUGUUGCUUUGCUCACAAGUCUAUUUCUUAGGUCUAUGAGAAAGCACUGUAAGAGAGCA
rnacentral:snoRNA from 1 species